rnacentral:rRNA from 1 species
GUGCAGCAGGCGCGAAACUUCGCAAUGCGCGAAAGCGCGACGAGGGGAUUCCAAGUGCAUGCACUAAGUGUAUGCUUUUCGUGAGUUUAAAACGCUCACGGAAUAAGGGCUGGGUAAGACUGGUGCCAGCCGCCGCGGUAAUACCAGCGGCCCUAGUGGUGAUCGUUAUUAUUGGGCCUAAAGCGUCCGUAGCCGGUCCGGUAAAUCUCUGGGUAAAUCGUUGGGCUUAACUCAGCGAAUUCUGGGGAGACUGCUGGGACUUGGGGACCGGGAGAGGUCGGAGGUACUCCAGGGGUAGGGGUGAAAAUCCUGUAAUCCUUGGGGGACCACCGGUGGCGAAGGCGUCCGACCAGAACGGGUCCGACGGUAAGGGACGAAGCCCUGGGGCGCGAACCGGAUUAGAUACCCCGGUAGU